rnacentral:lncRNA from 1 species
UUGCUACUCUUUGUCGGGUUAUUGUCUAUUUCCCCAUUUCAUUUCUCAAUUUGAUGAGUAUAUUAUAAUGUUUCACGACAUGACUUUAAAUUUAAUCAACAGCACAAUGAUAAACCUUGAUUACUUGUUAUAACUUACUUUGCACAGUUAAAACACCGGUCGUUUUUGGCCACUUAUAGUGAUACCAAUUUGGCUGAUAGAUCUGACAUGUAUAAUUCCCUGCAUCAGUCUCCGUUAAUGAUCGAAUAAUGAGUUGAUAAAUUUCACCAUAGUUUGAUAUAUAUUUCACCACCUUAUAUUUCAUUUGCCCUUCAACAACUUCAUCAAUAUGAACAGUUUCAUCAGAGGAUAAGUUUUUUUGGGGACUAGUUAGCGUGGCCGGUUUAAUCCAAUGCAUCUGUUACAAUAUAAUAUAAUUAUGUUAAGAAUAUUAUGGUGUCUUCC